UUAGUUGGUGGAGUGAUUUGUCUGGUUAAUUCCGAUAACGAACGAGACUCUAGCCUACUAAAUAGACCCGCGAUCCCUUGGUAUCGCGACAGGGUCUUCUUAGAGGGACAGGCGGCGUUUAGCCGCACGAAACAGAGCAAUAACAGGUCUGUGAUGCCCUUAGAUGUCCGGGGCCGCACGCGCGCCACACUGAAGGAAUCAGCGUGUGUUUCCCCUUGUCCGAGAGGACCGGGUAAUCCGCUGAACCUCCUUCGUGAUAGGGAUCGGGGCUUGAAAUUUUUCCCCGUGAACGAGGAAUUCCCAGUAAGCGCGAGUCAUAAGCUUGUGUUGAUUACGUCCCUGCCCUUUGUACACACCGCCCGUCGCUACUACCGAUUGAAUGAUUUAGUGAGGUCUUCGGACUGGAGCAACGAGCGGCUUCGGCCACUCUCUGCAAC
rnacentral:rRNA from 1 species